GACGAACGCUGGCGGCGUGCUUAACACAUGCAAGUCGAACGGAAAGGCCCUGCUUUUGUGGGGUGCUCGAGUGGCGAACGGGUGAGUAACACGUGAGUAACCUGCCCUUGACUUUGGGAUAACUUCAGGAAACUGGGGCUAAUACCGGAUAGGAGCUCCUGCUGCAUGGUGGGGGUUGGAAAGUUUCGGCGGUUGGGGAUGGACUCGCGGCUUAUCAGCUUGUUGGUGGGGUAGUGGCUUACCAAGGCUUUGACGGGUAGCCGGCCUGAGAGGGUGACCGGCCACAUUGGGACUGGGGUACGGGCCAGAAUCCUACGGGAGGGAGGAGGGGGGAAUAUUGCACAAUGGGCGGAAGCCUGAUGCAGCAACGCCGCGUGCGGGAUGACGGCCUUCGGGUUGUAAACCGCUUUCGCCUGUGACGAAGCGUGAGUGACGGUAAUGGGUAAAGAAGCACCGGCUAACUACGUG
rnacentral:rRNA from 1 species